CCUACGGGUAGCAGCAGUGAGGAAUAUUGGUCAAUGGGCGGGAGCCUGAACCAGCCAAGUCGCGUGAGGGAAGACGGUCCUAUGGAUUGUAAACCUCUUUAGGCGGGGAGCAAUGCCGGGCACGCGUGCCCGGAGGGAGAGUACCCGCAGAAUAAGCAUCGGAUAAAUCCGUGCCAGCAGACGCGGUAAUAAGGGGGAUUCAAGCGUUAUCCGGAUUUAUUGGGUUUACAGGUGGCGUAGGCGGUCGGAUAAGUUUGAGGUGAAAUCCAGAGGCUAAACUUCGGAAUUGCCUCUGAUACUGUUCGGCUAGAGAGUAGUUGCGGUAGGCGGAAUGUAUGGUGUAGCGGUGAAAUGCUGAGAGAGCAUACAGAACACCGAUUGCGAAGGCAGCUUACCAAGCUACUUCUGACGUUGAGGCACGAAAGCGUGGGGAGCAAACAGGAUUAGAUACCCCAGUAGUC
rnacentral:rRNA from 1 species